UAACCUGGCCUGGUUUUGCUUUUAAAUAAACUGAGGAUGUUGGAGGGAGGACUCAUUCUUAUUGGGAUGUGAGUGGAUGUGCUAGAAGGCAGGAAAACAAACACUGGACUGGAGACUCUCUGUGCCCCUGACAAGGAAACUGGACCAGUUUUGGGGAAGUUCCAGCUCCCAGGAUGUGAUGUGGAGACCCAGCCUCGAACGAAGUCAGGCCUGAAAAGGCUAACAACCCUGACCGCGGUGGCUUUGGGCCUUGGAUUCCUGGCCAGAGUUGUGUCUUCAGCCAGUAGUUUUACCCGGAGAAAGAACAAAUAAAUCUUGUGUAACCCA